rnacentral:rRNA from 1 species
UAGGGAAUCUUCCGCAAUGGACGCAAGUCUGACGGAGCAACGCCGCGUGAGUGAAGAAGGAUUUCGGUUCGUAAAACUCUGUUGUUAGAGAAGAACAGCGCAUAGAGUAACUGUUAUGCGUGUGACGGUAUCUAACCAGAAAGCCACGGCUAACUACGUGCCAGCAGCCGCGGUAAUACGUAGGUGGCAAGCGUUGUCCGGAUUUAUUGGGCGUAGAGCGAGCGCAGGCGGUCAAUUAAGUCUGAUGUGAAAGCCCCCGGCUCAACCGGGGAGGGUCAUUGGAAACUGGUUGACUUGAGUGCAGAAGGGGGGAGUGGAAUUCCAUGUGUAGCGGUGAAAUGCGUAGAUAUAUGGAAGAACACCGGUGGCGAAAGCGGCUCUCUGGUCUGUAACUGACGCUGAGGCUCGAAAGCGUGGGUAGCAAACAGG